rnacentral:rRNA from 1 species
GACGAACGCUGACGGCGUGCUUAACACAUGCAAGUCGAAGGGAGUGGCGAACGGGAGAGUAACACGUGAGUAACCUGCCCUUUUCUUUGGGAUAAGCCUGGGAAACGGGGCCUAAUACGGGAUGGAAUGGGAUGGGCUCGCGGGUGAUCAGCGUGUGGGUGGGGGGAUGGCUUACCAAGGCUUUGACGGGUAGCCGGCCGGAGAGGGUGGUCGGUCACACUGGAACUGAGAGACGGCCCAGACUCCUACGGGAGGCAGCAGUGGGGAAUAUUGCACAAUGGGCGAAAGUCUGAUGCAGCGACGCCGUGUGAGUGAUGAAGGUCUUCGGAUCGUAAAGCUCUGUUAGUAGGGAAGCGGUACCUACUCAGAAAGCACCGGCUAACUACGUGCCAGCCGCCGCGGUAAUAC